rnacentral:rRNA from 1 species
UCGAAGAGUAGGGCGGGACACGUGGUAUCCUGUCUGAAUAUGGGGGGACCAUCCUCCAAGGCUAAAUACUCCUGACUGACCGAUAGUGAACCAGUACCGUGAGGGAAAGGCGAAAAGAACCCCGGCGAGGGGAGUGAAAAAGAACCUGAAACCGUGUACGUACAAGCAGUGGGAGCCUCUUUAUGGGGUGACUGCGUACCUUUUGUAUAAUGGGUCAGCGACUUAUAUUCUGUAGCAAGGUUAACCGUAUAGGGGAGCCGAAGGGAAACCGAGUCUUAACUGGGCGUUAAGUUGCAGGGUAUAGACCCGAAACCCGGUGAUCUAGCCAUGGGCAGGUUGAAGGUUGGGUAACACUAACUGGAGGACCGAACCGACUAAUGUUGAAAAAUUAGCGGAUGACUUGUGGCUGGGGGUGAAAGGCCAAUCAAACCGGGAGAUAGCUGGUUCUCCCCGAAAGCU